UCUCCACAUCCUCUCCAACAUUUGUUAUUUUUUGUCUUGGUGAUUGUAGCCAUUCUAACGGGUGUAAGGUGAUAUCUUAGUGUAGUUUUGAUUUGCAGGCAAUAACUUUUUAUAAAUCGUUGGGAAUCUUUGCUACAAACUGUUGGGAAGAAUCAUUUUUCAGUGGAGCUGGAAGAGAUUAGGGUGGCAAGCUCCAGGAGCUGUAAGGUCUGGCCCCUGUGUGUAAGUGGUGUAAACAGAGGUUUUGUAGAGUAAUAUUAGCACCAAACUUAUCUGAAAGUUUCUAUAGCCGUGGCAGUGCUUCCACACUACACAGAUUUUAUGAAGCUUUUUACCUCAACAUACAUCUCUAUAUUCAUUUUAUAUGAAGAGGUUCGUUCAAUAAGAGAAAAGGCUGUUACAAAAUCAUUGUCAAAUGAAGAGGCAAUCAACAUGUAUGCAACCAAAAAAGUUUGUUUCCUGAGGACAAAUAACAUUUUGUUGGAGUUGGAAGACACCUUGGACCCUGUCUAAUUCAACUCCUCACUCUACAGUUGAAGGGACUCUUUGCUGGAGAGAGAUGAGGAAAUUGAGGCACAGAUUGGUUAAACAACGUGCACAAGGUUACACAGGAAAGCAAGUGGUCGAGUGUGGCUGGAUCACAGAGAACGUGGGGGAGAGCAGUAGGAAAUACAGCCAGAGAGGGUUUUUGUGUCAAGAUCUGGUGUUGAUAAAAACAGAGACAAUAACAACUACCAUUACUGAGCACCUGUCAUGUACCAGGCCCUGGCUAAAGCAUUUCUUCCAAUUAGCGCAUUUAAUCCUCGUAGCACCAAGGACGUAAUGGAUUGCCCCCAUUUAGCAGAUGAGGAAAUUGAAGCUGGGGCUGAGGGCACAGUAAAGUGACAUGGCCAAAGGUGUACAGCUAGUAAGCAGAGUUGGGAUUCAAACCAAGCUGAUUUGAAAUACUUUUCACUCAUCAUGCAUUGUCUCUUUCAUCUAAAAAUGUCAAUUUUCUCCAAGUUUACCUUGAAGCAUGACCAAAGACUGUCGAAGUCGACUGUUUUCUUUCCGGGUGUUAGUUAGCUUU